rnacentral:rRNA from 1 species
GGGAUUACCUCAGUAACGGCGAGUGAAGCGGUAACAGCUCAAAUUUGAAAUCUGCCGCAAGGCCGAGUUGUAAUUUGUAGAAGAUGCUUUGGGUAUGGCCCCGGUCUAAGUUCGUUGGAACACGACGUCAUAGAGGGUGAGAAUCCCGUAUGUGACUGGGUGCUUUUGCCUAUGUAAAGCUCUUUCGACGAGUCGAGUUGUUUGGGAAUGCAGCUCAAAAUGGGUGGUAUAUUUCAUCUAAAGCUAAAUAUUGGCCAGAGACCGAUAGCGCACAAGUAGAGUGAUCGAAAGAUGAAAAGCACUUUGGAAAGAGAGUUAAACAGUACGUGAAAUUGUUGAAAGGGAAGCGCUUGCAACCAGACUUGCACGCUGUUGAUCAUCCAGGCUUCUGUUUGGUGCACUCAACUGCGUUCAGGCCAGCAUCGGUUUUGGUGGUGGGAUAAAGGCCUUGGGAAUGUAGCUUCUUUCGGGGAGUGUUAUAGCCCUCGGUGCAAUGCCGCCUACCGGGACCGAGGACCGCGCUUCGGCUAGGAUGCUGGCGUAAUGGUUGUAAGCGACCCGUCUUGAAACACGGACCAAGGAGUCUAACAUCUAUGCGAGUGUUUGGGUGUCAAACCCAUACGCGUAAUUAACGUGAACGGAGGUGAGAACCCUUAAGGGUGCAUCAUCGACCGAUCCUGAUGUCUUCGGAUGGAUUUGAGUAAGAGCAUAGCUGUUGGGACCCGAAAGAUGGUGAACUAUGCCUGAAUAGGGUGAAGCCAGAGGAAACUCUGGUGGAGGCUCGCAGCGGUUCUGACGUGCAAAUCGAUCGUCAAAUUUGGGUAUAGGGGCGAAAGACUAAUCGAACAUCUA